CGGUACAGCGAGUAAACAAGAUCAACAGUUAAUCUAACAGUAACUACAAGAUGAGGACGGGAUGACUUCAUUCCUUCGGCUUCUUUUUUAUUCUGUUUCAUCUGCAGUGAAACACUCGCCGAUAAAUCACUUCACUGGAUCUGCUGGAAACCAAACGUCACACAGUUUGUGGGUGUUGCUGUGGUUGAGGCAGUUUACUUGGAGUGGUACAAACACUAGAAGUGGCCGUGAAUAUGAGGAAAGCACUGGAGAGAAGUCUGGCUUUUUGAAGUCUGGCUUUAUUGGACUGGAUUUGAAGACACUGUCAUGGGCUUCACUGAAGGCUGACGCUACCAAACAGAGCUGAGAAGCUGACAGUAAUAAAACAAAGCUAAAUGAAGUCUUCCUGACUGACAUCUCUCCAGAGCGGCUGAAAUUGUUUUUGGAUGGUGGGAGCAGCUCCCUGCAGAGAACAGUUCUUCCUUCAGUGUCUCUCCUCCAGAGGACUCCCUCCUCUCCAGCUGCCGCGCUACAGGUUUCUACCCAGACAGAGCCGUGAUGUUCUGGAGGAAAGAUGGAGAGGAGAUCCAUGAAGUUGUGCCCCACAGAGAGAUCCUCCCCAACAAUGAUGGGACCUUCCAGAUGAGUGUUGAUCUGAAUGUUUUAUCAGUUAGACCAGAAGACUGGAGCAGAUACGAGUGUGUGUUUCAGGUCUCUGAUUUCAAGUAGAACAUUCUCACCAAAGUUUUUGUUUGGAAUCCAAGAAUAGCAGCUGUUACUACUGAAUAACUAAUGGAGAUGCUAAUAGACAAGAAGAAACAAAUUCAGUGCUUGUAUAUAUAUAAAGUUAUAACUGUUUGUUUUAUUCCAAUAUGCAAGAUAUCAAUGUUAUUUGUAUUCUUAAAAUGAAUCCAGUUUAAAUUUCAGGUUCACAGUUUAUACCAGGGGUGUCAAACUUUUGACCCGUGGGCCACAUCUGGCCUGCGAUACAAUUAUAUCCACCCCAUGAGAUAAUUUCAUGUGAAUUAUUAAUAAACUCUUUGGUAUGUGGGAGACGAAUCUUCAGCCCUUGAGAAUCCAUGCAGGCAGGAGUGGGAGUUUAUUUUGAUGGGCACACCAUGCGGCCAAUAACAUACAAAGAUAGACUGGGAUCAAACCAUUAUGUGAAAGAAGGAAGGGGGGUAGAUGUUCUUAGAACAUCAAGUGUAGCCAGGUACACAGAGAGAUGAGGGUUUUAAACACAAACGUUUCAGGAAAAAGUGAAAAAAAAAACAUGAAAUAAGCAGCACCUCAAUGACACUCAAUGAUACUGUAAACUGCAAAGCUGAGUGCAGAAUUUAUAAGACUAGGAGCUGGCUAAAGUGAUACCUGAUUUUAUUUUUAGCCAUUUUCCUUUGUAGAGGACAAAAGGUUUCAAACUUGUCCAGGCCUUAAAACUCAUCUGUGUUCUCCCUGGUAAAUGCAUAAAAAUAAUGCUUUUAUGAAAACAGAGAAUAACAAUAGCUUCCUUACAAAAAAAUUAAAUUUUCAGUUCAGUAUUGAAUAUUACACAAAAUAUAUACAGGAUGUGUUUGAAUGGUAGAGGUGCAGAUAUGUGUGCAUGUAGCACAGAGCCAUGGCUCUCACAGGCCUGAAUGUGUGCUUGAAGUCAUUUAUAGUUCUUAACUUGUUUGGUCUGCUGCUCACCACACACAAGCACAAGGAGAAAUUUUGGAUUUUUAACUGUAAUUUCAUAAGUUUUACACAUUUUCCAGAUAAAAACCUCCCUUAUGACCAUUCAUACUACAAAAAGUACUUAGGCAGUUAACAGUUUAAUCAAAAAUAGGUUUCUGUUUUUCUCCUUCUACUAUAGAAAUGUCUAUUUUUUAUGACUACAGUUAUAAAAAAAAAAGUAAUUUGACACAUUUAUUUCUUACAAUUUAACUCCCAAGAUUCAUACUGACAGAUUUCUUUCUUUGUCACGACAGCCUUGUCUUUAUCAUAUAGAAAAACAGUUAGAUAACUUCUUUAUAAGAAGGUGAGUACAACUGGUUCAGCCAACUUAAGAUCAAAGUGGGCUGUAUGUGGCCCGCGAUGUAAAAUGAAUUUGACAUGACUGUUUUAGACCAUCCAUCCCUGUAAAGGACUGAGUGGAACGUCAAUAUAUCAAAAUUCCUCAGAGGGAAGCACAUAAAUAAUUAACUUGAAGUGAAAGUUCACUCUUCUCAUAUGUGAGCAGAGAGCACAGAGCGUGAAACAGAAAGUCCAGCUGAACAGAGAAAGUUGAUAACUGCUGCUGGGUGUGUGGGGUGUUUUUUUUUUCAAGCUAACAAACACAAAUAAAGCCUGGCUGUGUUCUGCUGUAAUAUACCCCACCUGAUCCUCUAAUACAGACUACCAAAAUGAACUCAUCUGGGAUUUAAAAUUGUUUUUUCUUCUUUUUAUUUCAGAAAAACACUUUGCACCACUCUGAUCUGUGCAUUUAAAAAAUGAAAAGAGUAGGUUCUUACUGACUUUGUCUGAAUAUUCCUCAUUGUGAUAUUAUUGAUGGCUUAUGAGCAGGGGCGUUACCAGAAUCUUGAAACAGUGGGACCUUAGCCCAGCCCUGAAAUCUCUUGGAUUUUCGCUCAGUAACAGCACUUUAAGGUUAUUUACUAGAUUUUUCAAUGAAAUUAAUAUUGGAUGUCAAACACUGUGUGCUACCUAAAGCUUGAAGUCAGGUGUGUCUGUCUGUCUUUCCCAGAAUGAUAGUAAAAUAAACAAU